UACGUAGGGUGCGAGCGUUAAUCGGAAUUACUGGGCGUAAAGCGUGCGUAGACGGUUACAUAAGUCGGGUGUGAAAGCCCCGGGCUCAACCUGGGAAUUGCAUUCGAGACUGCGUAGCUAGGGUGCGGAAGAGGGAAGCGGAAUUUCCGGUGUAGCGGUGAAAUGCGUAGAUAUCGGAAGGAACACCAGUGGCGAAAGCGGCUCCUGGUCCAGCACCGACGUUCAGGCACGAAAG
rnacentral:rRNA from 1 species